AAAAUACCCAACUGUUUACCAAAAACAUAACUGUAUGAGAUACUAUGCAGCUUUUUCUGCUCCAUGAUAUGUUAAAUAGCCGCAGUACCCUGACUGUGCAAAGGUAGCAUAAUCAAUUGGCUUCUAAUUAAAGUCUGGUAUGAAUGAACGUAUGGGUAAUGACUGUCUAAGGAAUGUUAAUUCAAAAUUAUCAAGUUGGUGCAAAUGCCAACAGGCUUAAAAAAGACGAGAAGACCCUAGAAACUUAUAGUUGAUUUUGCUGGGGCGGCAGAAUUGCAUAUAACCAAUUUUAAUUUACGUGAAGCGACGCAGAAAGAAAAAGUUACUCUAGGGAUAACAGCAUAAUUUUAGUAGUUUGUGACCUCGAUGUUGGACUAGGGAUGUUACCUUCUAGAAGGAGGUAAUUAUGGCUCUGUUCGAGCCCUUAGCCCCUACAUGAUCUGAGUUCAGACCGGCGUGAGCCA
rnacentral:rRNA from 1 species